rnacentral:rRNA from 1 species
CGCGUUAAGUAGACCGCCUGGGGAGUACGGUCGCAAGAUUAAAACUCAAAUGAAUUGACGGGGGCCCGCACAAGCGGUGGAGCAUGUGGUUUAAUUCGAUGCAACGCGAAGAACCUUACCUACUCUUGACAUCCAGAGAAGCCAGUAGAGAUACAGGUGUGCCUUCGGGAACUCUGAGACAGGUGCUGCAUGGCUGUCGUCAGCUCGUGUUGUGAAAU